AGCGAACGCUGGCGGCAGGCCUAACACAUGCAAGUCGAACGAAGCCUUCGGGCUUAGUGGCGGACGGGUGAGUAACACGUGGGAACGUACCUUUUGGUUCGGAACAACUCAGGGAAACUUGAGCUAAUACCGGAUGAGCCCUUAGGGGGAAAGAUUUAUCGCCGAAAGAGCGGCCCGCGUUAGAUUAGCUAGUUGGUGAGGUAAAGGCUCACCAAGGCAACGAUCUAUAGCUGGUCUGAGAGGAUGUUCAGCCACACUGGGACUGAGACACGGCCCAGACUCCUCCGGGAGGCAGCAUUGGGGAAUCUUGCGCGAUGGGCGAAAGCCUGACGCAGCCAUGCCGUGUGAAUGAUGAAGGUCUUAGGAUUGUAAAAUUCUUUUACCAGGGACGAUAAUGACGGUACCUGGGGAAAAAGCCCCGGCUAACUUCGUGCCAGAAGCCGCGGUAAAAC
rnacentral:rRNA from 1 species